AUGGAUUGGAACUAUGAUUCAUCUGAUGAGGACUACAGCUAUGAUGAAGAUUCAGAUGGUCAUAUAAGGAAGAGGAAGAGUUCAUUCCCAAGAUACAACCCUGAAAGUGAAGUACCACAUUUUGCUUUGACCAUGGUUUUUAGAAGCAAGAAUCAGCUAUGCAAAGCUUUGAGAAGAUAUGGUCUAGUAACAAAGAGGAGCAUUAAGUUCAUGAAAUCUGAGUGUGACAGAGUUAGGGCAAAGUGUGGAUGGCCUGGCUGCCCAUGCUGA
rnacentral:rRNA from 1 species